CCUACGGGAGGCAGCAGUGGGGAAUAUUGGACAAUGGGCGAAAGCCUGAUCCAGCCAUGCCGCGUGUGUGAAGAAGGCCUUCGGGUUGUAAAGCACUUUCAGUGGGGAAGAAAGCCUUGGGGCUAAUACCCUCGAGGAAGGACAUCACCCACAGAAGAAGCACCGGCUAACUCCGUGCCAGCAGCCGCGGUAAUACGGGAGGGUGCGAGCGUUAAUCGGAAUUACUGGGCGUAAAGCGCGCGUAGGCGGUCUGAUAAGCCGGUUGUGAAAGCCCCGGGCUCAACCUGGGAACGGCAUCCGGAACUGUCAGGCUAGAGUGCAGGAGAGGAAGGUAGAAUUCCCGGUGUAGCGGUGAAAUGCGUAGAGAUCGGGAGGAAUACCAGUGGCGAAGGCGGCCUUCUGGACUGACACUGACGCUGAGGUGCGAAAGCGUGGGUAGCAAACAGGAUUAGAUACCCCUGUAGUC
rnacentral:rRNA from 1 species